rnacentral:rRNA from 1 species
CCUACGGGUGGCAGCAGUGGGGAAUAUUGCACAAUGGGGGAAACCCUGAUGCAGCGCCGCCGCGUGAGUGAAGAAGUCCUUCUUUAUGUAAAGCUCUAUCAGCAGGGAAGAAAAUCACGGUACCUGAGUACGACUCCCCGGCUACCUACGUUCCAGCCGCCGCGGUCCUACGGAGGGGGCAAGCGUUAUCCGGAUUUACUGGGUGUAACGGGAGCGUAGACGGCAGUGCAAGUCUGGAGUGAAAGGCGGGGGCUCAACCCCCGGACUGCUCUGGAAACUGUAGGGCUGGAGUGCAGGAGAGGUAAGUGGAAUUCCUAGUGUAGCGGUGAAAUGCGUAGAUAUUAGGAGGAACCCCAGUGGCGAAGGCGGCUUACUGGACUGUAACUGACGUUGAGGCUCGAAAGCGUGGGGAGCAAACAGGAUUAGAUACCCUUGUAGUC